CUAGAUGGCCUGCUCCUAUAGAUACUACUGCAUUAUAAGGCCUUAUGGUUAAGAAUCUUAUAAUUUCCAAAGAAAAGAGAUUCAGCCACUUUUGCAAUUUUUUUCUAAAAAACUAGCAUCUAAAGUAUUAUCUAUUCUAAUUCCGAUUGGUAAUUGUGGCGAUAGAUUAGGAUGGAGUCCAUCUUCUAGGUUGACUAUCAAGGUAUUUGAU
rnacentral:lncRNA from 1 species